UCCUGUACCACUUGGAGUUUAUGGGGGCACCUAGCAACACCUCGAUGAAUAACCUGCUGGGAGACUGUGCGGCCGUUAUUGACAGGCGUCAACCGCCAUCUGUGCGGGACAAUGCUGAACGAAGACGGGCCCCGGGUGUGGGAGUUGCAUACAUGCCGUUUCCUCCUGCCAUUGGAGGUUUCGGUCUUAUUCCUUUGCACGAACAUCUGCGUGCACGAUUUGCCUGUUUGUCCUGUCGUGCAAUCCUUGGUAUGGCUGGUAUGUUGGAAACUAACCCCAUGUGGACUCGGGUAUUACUGGCAAUAUUGCGUCAUAUCCACCCGGCAGCCCACCCAUUAUGUCUGUUGGCCGUUAGGGGAGAUGUACGAGAUGGCCGUGUCACUACUAUCCUGGGUAGGCCUGUGCCGAAUGAUUGUCCGGCAUUAACACGAAUUCUAUCAGCUAUGACUUCCCUACCACAACCUGUCCUUCUGGAUGCGCAACAUCUAGCUCCGGGUCCUUGGUGUUACCAUAUCCCUCUUUGGGGAAACCCUUUGCUAAAUGACGCUCAGUUGGACGAACAUUUUGGUGAUCUUAGAAAUUUGCGUGGGUUAGAUACCGUAGGUAUGGCCGUACGAUGCCACACAGCUAUGUCGUCUACGUGGAAUUUGGUGCGCAUGGUUGGUGUACAAGGCCUUACUGAGGCGCAACACUUUCAUUGUACGAAUCUGUUUCGUACUAUCGUGGUACGGGGCAUAUUAGGGCUUACGCCGAGGCAUCCCCUGCCGGCAUCGUGUCAGUCGGGGGCGACUGCCAUAACGCGUAUAUCGCAACUUAUCGACCGCCUACCCCCGCAAUGGACCAUAGCGGCGAUAGUAGCUAUUAAUGACAGANACCAUGAAAUACCGCCUCCGNNNNNNNNNNNNNNNNNNNNNNNNNNNNNNNNNNNNNNNNNNNNNNNNNNUUCCCCGCUUCAAAGCUGUCAUGGAUGUNUUCCACGCAGCCUCGGGACAACGACUCAACGAUCGCAAGGUUGAGCUCUUGCCGCUUGGCACAUUCACCCGCAAUACAAGACCGGCGGACUUACCACCAGCGAAUGCUAUUGGUAAUCAUUUAAUCAUCCCGGUUACUAACCUAACGCAUAUGGCGAACUCUGUGGGUAAUGAACAAGUAGCAGACGAGGUUGAACAGCAGCCUAUUGUAGGUUCAAUAGUUGGCGAUUUCAGGGUGCUCUCAGUAGCUACAACCCUAGGGAUUCGCGUCGCAGAUAGGCCUUCGCUCGAACAGCAAUCGGUUUCGCUUUCUCCUGUGAGGAAUAGCUUGCAGUUAGUCGCUGGGAUGCAUUUAUCAGCUUUUGGUCGAGCUUUUGCGGUAUCAGGUUAUAGCAUUAGUAGAGUCCUGUACCACUUGGAGUUUAUGGGGGCACCUAGCAACACCUCGAUGAAUAACCUGCUGGGAGACUGUGCGGCCGUUAUUGACAGGCGUCAACCGCCAUCUGUGCGGGACAAUGCUGAACGAAGACGGGCCCCGGGUGUGGGAGUUGCAUACAUGCCGUUUCCUCCUGCCAUUGGAGGUUUCGGUCUUAUUCCUUUGCACGAACAUCUGCGUGCACGAUUUGCCUGUUUGUCCUGUCGUGCAAUCCUUGGUAUGGCUGGUAUGUUGGAAACUAACCCCAUGUGGACUCGGGUAUUACUGGCAAUAUUGCGUCAUAUCCACCCGGCAGCCCACCCAUUAUGUCUGUUGGCCGUUAGGGGAGAUGUACGAGAUGGCCGUGUCACUACUAUCCUGGGUAGGCCUGUGCCGAAUGAUUGUCCGGCAUUAACACGAAUUCUAUCAGCUAUGACUUCCCUACCACAAC
rnacentral:lncRNA from 1 species